AGAGUUUGAUCAUGGCUCAGAACGAACGCUGGCGGCAGGCCUAACACAUGCAAGUCGAACGAGAAGCCACCUUCGGGUGGUGGAAAGUGGCAGACGGGUGAGUAACGCGUGGGAACGUGCCUUUCGGUUCGGGAUAACCCAGGGAAACUUGGGCUAAUACCGGAUACGCCCUUCGGGGGAAAGAUUCAUUGCCGAAAGAUCGGCCCGCGUCGGAUUAGCUAGUUGGUGGGGUAAAAGCCUACCAAGGCGACGAUCCGUAGCUGGUCUGAGAGGAUGAUCAGCCACACUGGGACUGAGACACGGCCCAGACUCCUACGGGAGGCAGCAGUGGGGAAUAUUGCACAAUGGGCGAAAGCCUGAUGCAGCCAUGCCGCGUGGGUGAAGAAGGCCUUAGGGUUGUAAACCCCUUUCAGCGGGGAAGAUAAUGACGGUACCCGCAGAAGAAGUCCCGGCUAACUCCGUGCCAGCAGCCGCGGUAAUACGGAGGGGACUAGCGUUGUUCGGAAUUACUGGGCGUAAAGCGCGCGUAGGCGGAUUUGCAAGUCGGGGGUGAAAGCCCGAGGCUCAACCUCGGAACUGCCCUCGAUACUGCAAAUCUCGAGUCCGAGAGAGGUGAGUGGAAUUCCUAGUGUAGAGGUGAAAUUCGUAGAUAUUAGGAAGAACACCAGUGGCGAAGGCGGCUCACUGGCUCGGUACUGACGCUGAGGCGCGAAAGCGU
rnacentral:rRNA from 1 species